AACGACUCUCGGCAACGGAUAUCUCGGCUCUCGCAUCGAUGAAGAACGUAGCGAAAUGCGAUACCUGGUGUGAAUUGCAGAAUCCCGCGAACCAUCGAGUCUUUGAACGCAAGUUGCGCCCGAGGCCAUCCGGUCGAGGGCACGCCUGCCUGGGCGUCAUGCCAU
rnacentral:rRNA from 1 species